GUUUGAUUUUUCUCCAUUUAAACACAUGGAAUUACGUUGAUAGAUGAAGACAGAUGUUACAUCAUGAAAUCACUCAAACUACAAUCAAAUAAAUAUAACAAAUGAUAACAAAAAAGAAGAUGGUGAAUAUUACCCAGUGUCUUACCAAAAAGUUAAGCUGGAUUGAUACUGGUAGUGUUGUCUUUAAUUUACCUCCAGACAAAAUGGACUUGUUUUCUACUCAAUCAAAAUAUUUAUGUUUAUCCAUAUCAUUUUGAAACAACAUGCAGCUCUAUUUUUAUUUGCAUCAUUGUCUUGGAAGUUGAUUACUCACUGAUUGACUCACUUGUCUUUUCAAUUAGUAAUUAUUAGUUAUUAAUAACAUUGAGUAAAAUAAUAAUAAAAUAAUAACAACUUUACAGUACAUCAUAGCCAAAGUUUCUCAUCUAACGUUUUCUGACCAAAAACUUGAUCAAUUGGUUGAUGAAUCAAUUAAGUAAUAAUAACAGAUAUUGAUCCUAAUGGAGUAUCUUGCCAUUUAAAUUCUUCUUGACAAGUUACAUAAGCCAGCCAAUAAAAUAUAUUCAAUAAAGUAUAAGAAGCUGGAAAAAUAACACGAGCAACUCUAUCAAUAUGUGAUACACUGUUAAUAUGUCGUUCGAUUCUUUCACCUUUUCCUCGACAACCAUUUGCAACUUCUUGUUGUCGAUUACGUCUAAAGCAAAAAAUAAAAUAAAAUAAAACAUUUUAUAUUUAUAUUAAUCCAUCUUGAUAAUACAUAAUUU